rnacentral:tRNA from 1 species
CGGUUAGCUCAGUGGUAGAGCGUCUGCCUUACAAGCAGAGGGUCACUGGUUCAAGUCCAGUACCG